rnacentral:tRNA from 1 species
AAAUUUAGUUAAAUUAUAACGUUAGUUUGUCAAACUAAAAUCAUCAAAUGAUAAUUUUUU